ensembl:lncRNA
CAUAAACUCACUGUCACUUUCAGAGCUCUUCCUAGCUACGCAGCUGCCAGUCAAUGAAUGCACAGUAAAAUUCCUAUGACUGCCCAUUCCUUAUACUCAGAUAAGUAUUAGGCCAGGAUCCUCAAAUGUGAUUUGCUUGCCUUGACUUUACCCACAACAUAAACAGAUUUGCAAUUUUACAGGAAAGAAUACAAACCAAACCAGCUGCCCUCUAGCCUGGGAAAUCCCCAUUGAACAUCUCCGUUGGAAAAUUCCUGCAUCAGGACCAUUUAAUACAAGGAGAUUUGAAAAACACUGGUUUUACCUGGGCUUUGGGUGGACAAUGCAUUCCCUAGAGUGCAGAAUCCUUAGUGAAAACUGACAGAAAAUAGAGUGAGACCCACUGCAAGUAUCUUCUAAGAGCACUGGAAAUUGCACCGUGCUGCAGAGGACAGGGAUAGAUAUAGAUGCACAGCUGUUGCAAAAACAUAACCAUACCCCUAACAUGUGGCUUUAAGGCAUUUGGCAUGUCCAAAAAAUUUUGCCUUGAUGGGGCUUAGUAAUGCAGUUUGCUUGGCUCAGAGCAGUAGUAUCCAGAAACUGAUGGCUGGUUGGUAUUCUGCAAAAAUAACAUUAAAAUAGGCUCCUGCAAGUGGUCAUAGAAAACUGUCAGUGCAUUUGGUAGGGUUGAUUGUAUCAGCUGAUUUCCAU